GACGAACGCCGGCGGCGUGCUUAACACAUGCAAGUCGAACGGAAAGGCCCUGCUUUUGUGGGGUGCUCGAGUGGCGAACGGGUGAGUAACACGUGAGUAACCUGCCCUUGACUUUGGGAUAACUUCAGGAAACUGGGGCUAAUACCGGAUAGGAGCUCCUGCUGCAUGGUGGGGGUUGGAAAGUUUCGGCGGUUGGGGAUGGACUCGCGGCUUAUCAGCUUGUUGGUGGGGUAGUGGCUUACCAAGGCUUUGACGGGUAGCCGGCCUGAGAGGGUGACCGGGCACAAUGGGGCUGGGGAUAGGCCCCGGAUUCCACCGGGAGGAAGAGGUGGGAAAUAUGGCACAAGGGGCGAAGCCCGGAUGCAGCAACGCCGGGGGGGGAUGACGGCCUUCGGGUUGUAAACCGCUUUCGCCUGUGACGAAGCGUGAGUGACGGUAAUGGGUAAAGAAGCACCGGCUAACUACGUG
rnacentral:rRNA from 1 species